rnacentral:rRNA from 1 species
AGAGUUUGAUUCUGGCUCAGAACGAACGCUGGCGGCAGGCUUAACACAUGCAAGUCGAACGAUAUAGUGGCAGACGGGUGAGUAACGCGUGGGAACGUACCUUUCACUACGGAAUAGCUCUUGGAAACGAGUGGUAAUACCGUAUACGCCCUUCGGGGGAAAGAUUUAUCGGUGAAAGAUCGGCCCGCGUUAGAUUAGCUAGUUGGUAGGGUAAUGGCCUACCAAGGCGACGAUCUAUAGCUGGUCUGAGAGGAUGAUCAGCCACACUGGGACUGAGACACGGCCCAGACUCCUACGGGAGGCAGCAGUGGGGAAUCUUAGACAAUGGGCGCAAGCCUGAUCUAGCCAUGCCGCGUGUGUGAUGAAGGCCUUAGGGUCGUAAAGCACUUUCGCCAGGGAUGAUAAUGACAGUACCUGGUAAAGAAACCCCGGCUAACUCCGUGCCAGCAGCCGCGGUAAUACGGAGGGGGUUAGCGUUGUUCGGAAUUACUGGGCGUAAAGCGUACGUAGGCGGAUCAGAAAGUAUGGGGUGAAAUCCCGAGGCUCAACCUCGGAACUGCCUCAUAAACUCCUGGUCUUGAGUUCGAGAGAGGUGAGUGGAAUUCCAAGUGUAGAGGUGAAAUUCGUAGAUAUUUGGAGGAACACCAGUGGCGAAGGCGGCUCACUGGCUCGAUACUGACGCUGAGGUACGAAAGUGUGGGGAGCAAACAGGAUUAGAUACCCUGGUAGUCCACACCGUAAACGAUGAAUGCCAGACGUCGGGCAGUAUACUGUUCGGUGUCACACCUAACGGAUUAAGCAUUCCGCCUGGGGAGUACGGUCGCAAGAUUAAAACUCAAAGGAAUUGACGGGGGCCCGCACAAGCGGUGGAGCAUGUGGUUUAAUUCGAUGAUACGCGAGGAACCUUACCAGGGCUUAAAUGUAGUCUGACAGGGGUGGAAACGCCCCCUUCUUCGGACAGACUGCAAGGUGCUGCAUGGUUGUCGUCAGCUCGUGCCGUGAGGUGUCAGGUUAAGUCCUAUAACGAGCGCAACCCCUGUCGUUAGUUGCCAGCAUGUAAAGAUGGGAACUCUAACGAGACUGCCGGUGCAAACCGUGAGGAAGGUGGGGAUGACGUCAAAUCAUCACGGCCCUUACGUCCUGGGCCACACACGUGCUACAAUGGCAGGUACAAUGGGCAGCCACGCCGCAAGGCGGAGCGAAUCCACAAAACCUGUCUCAGUUCGGAUCGGGGUCUGCAACUCGACCCCGUGAAGCUGGAAUCGCUAGUAAUCGGAUAUCAGCCAUGAUCCGGUGAAUACGUUCCCGGGCCUUGUACACACCGCCCGUCAAGCCAUGGAAGCUGGAAGCACCUGAAGUCCGUCACCGCAAGGAGCGGCCUAGGGUGAAGCUGGUAACUGGGGCUAAGAGAUCGGAAGAGCGUCGUGUAGGGAAA